rnacentral:rRNA from 1 species
GGUUAAGCGACUAAGCGUACACGGUGGAUGCCCUGGCAGUCAGAGGCGAUGAAGGGCGUGCUAAUCUGCGAUAAGCGCCGGUAAGGUGAUAUGAACCGUUAUAACCGGCGAUACCCGAAUGGGGAAACCCAGUGUGACUCGUCACACUAUCAUUAACUGAAUCCAUAGGUUAAUGAGGCGAACCGGGGGAACUGAAACAUCUAAGUACCCCGAGGAAAAGAAAUCAACCGAGAUUCCCCCAGUAGCGGCGAGCGAACGGGGAGGAGCCCAGAGCCUGAAUCAGCAUGUGUGUUAGUGGAAGCGUCUGGAAAGGCGCGCGAUACAGGGUGACAGCCCCGUACACAAAAGCGCACAUGCUGUGAGCUCGAUGAGUAGGGCGGGACACGUGGUAUCCUGUCUGAAUAUGGGGGGACCAUCCUCCAAGGCUAAAUACUCCUGACUGACCGAUAGUGAACCAGUACCGUGAGGGAAAGGCGAAAAGAACCCCGGCGAGGGGAGUGAAAAAGAACCUGAAACCGUGUACGUACAAGCAGUGGGAGCACCCUUUGGGGUGUGACUGCGUACCUUUUGUAUAAUGGGUCAGCGACUUAUAUUCUGUAGCAAGGUUAACCGUAUAGGGGAGCCGCAGGGAAACCGAGUCUUAACCGGGCGUUAAGUUGCAGGGUAUAGACCCGAAACCCGGUGAUCUAGCCAUGGGCAGGUUGAAGGUUGGGUAACACUAACUGGAGGACCGAACCGACUAAUGUUGAAAAAUUAGCGGAUGACCUGUGGCUGGGGGUGAAAGGCCAAUCAAACCGGGAGAUAGCUGGUUCUCCCCGAAAGCUAUUUAGGUAGCGCCUCGUGAACUCAUCUCCGGGGGUAGAGCACUGUUUCGGCUAGGGGGCCAUCCCGGCUUACCAACCCGAUGCAAACUGCGAAUACCGGAGAAUGUUAUCACGGGAGACACACGGCGGGUGCUAACGUCCGUCGUGAAGAGGGAAACAACCCAGACCGCCAGCUAAGGUCCCAAAGUCAUGGUUAAGUGGGAAACGAUGUGGGAAGGCCCAGACAGCCAGGAUGUUGGCUUAGAAGCAGCCAUCAUUUAAAGAAAGCGUAAUAGCUCACUGGUCGAGUCGGCCUGCGCGGAAGAUGUAACGGGGCUAAACCAUGCACCGAAGCUGCGGCAGCGACGCUGAUGCGUUGUUGGGUAGGGGAGCGUUCUGUAAGCCUGUGAAGGUGGACUGUGAGGGUUGCUGGAGGUAUCAGAAGUGCGAAUGCUGACAUAAGUAACGAUAAAGCGGGUGAAAAGCCCGCUCGCCGGAAGACCAAGGGUUCCUGUCCAACGUUAAUCGGGGCAGGGUGAGUCGACCCCUAAGGCGAGGCCGAAAGGCGUAGUCGAUGGGAAACGGGUUAAUAUUCCCGUACUUGGUGUUACUGCGAAGGGGGGACGGAGAAGGCUAUGUUGGCCGGGCGACGGUUGUCCCGGUUUAAGCGUGUAGGUGUGUGUUCCAGGUAAAUCCGGUUCACUUUAACACUGAGGCGUGA